rnacentral:rRNA from 1 species
GUGAGGAAUAUUGCGCAAUGGAGGCAACUCUGACGCAGCCAUGCCGCGUGCAGGAAGAAGGCGCUACGCGUUGUAAACUGCUUUUAACCGGGAAGAAACCCCAGGACGUGUCCUGGGUUGACGGUACCGGAGGAAUAAGCACCGGCUAACUUCGUGCCAGCAGCCGCGGUAAUACGAAGGGUGCAAGCGUUAUCCGGAUUCAUUGGGUUUAAAGGGUGCGUAGGCGGAGCGUUAAGUCAGUGGUGAAAUCCUGCAGCUUAACUGUAGACUUGCCAUUGAUACUGGCGCUCUUGGGUGCGCUUGAAGUGGGCGGAAUGUGCCGUGUAGCGGUGAAAUGCUUAGAUAUGGCACAGAACACCAAUUGCGAAGGCAGCUCACUAAGGCGAUACUGACGCUGAGGCACGAAAGCGUGGGGAUCGAACAGGAUUAGAAACCCUGGUAGUCC